rnacentral:rRNA from 1 species
UACGGGGGGGGCAAGCGUUGUUCGGAAUUACUGGGCGUAAAGGCUCGUAGGCGGCCAACUAAGUCAGACGUGAAAUCCCUCGGCUUAACCGGGGACUGCGUCUGAUACUGGAUGGCUUGAAUCCGGGAGAGGGAUGGCGGAAUUCCAGGUGUAGCGGAUGAAAUGGCCGUAGAAGUAUCUGGAGGAACACCGGUGGCGAAGGCGGGGCUCUGGGCCGAUGACUGACGUGAGGAGCGAAAGCGUGGGGAGCGAACAGG